UCUUCAUCUUGACCCCCACAGCCCCCCCUCCCCCUGCAACGAUUGUUCUAGGCGGCCUAAUAAAGAACGAGGAGAAGCAAGGCAACAGCUAUCGGAUCUGCUGCGCGCUGUUCCGUUGGUGAGGAAUCCCGCGGAGUACUGGAGGUUUGCUAUUCAGCACAAAACUAGUUCAUAUUAUUACCACUGUUCAGGCAAUUUGGUUUUCCUUCAUGCUCACCCUCAGAAAAAUCACACAAAAAUACAAAAACACAUCCACGUCUGACUAACAUAAUUAUUUAAAAACUACCUGACAACUACCUAACAUCCGCGUUCACAAUAAAAACCAUUGUUUGUUAUUUAUAGAUCAUGCAGGAUAACUUACUAUUUCUCUGUGAAACAAUAGUUGCUAUUCAUACGUUGGUACUAUUACAAUCAGUGGUCUGUGACAAGAUUACCAGCAGAAUCGAACACAUUUUGCUCGCACUUGUCAGUACAGCAGAUCAAGUAUAUGGAAGAUCAGACAUUAUUUCACCAAUGUACACACCAAAAGAAAUUGCCUACCAGUGAGCAAACCCCCAUUCACACAAUCAGUCGGAAUACAGAUAACUCAAAAAUGUGCGGGCAACAUGAGACCACUGACGACCAUCCAGUAAAUGGGAUCAGGUACUAGACAAAAAACUGCAUAUCAGAGUAGCAUAAACAGAGACAUGUAGCAGAGUAUGUUCGUUUCAUUCGAAUAAUUGUGAAAUGUAAUAUAUGAACUGCCUUAUAAGCAUUGCAAAGACAAAUUAUAUGACAAUCAGUCCUAACAUUCCUAUUAUUGUAAACGCUGGAAGCAAUCCUGUGCCUAGCAAUAAACAGGUUACUGCAACAGAGCCUCGUUCAGCAACUUCAAUUAUCAAACUGCCAAUGCCUUCAGAGGAAGCUGCUGCACAAAUGCUUAUAGAUACUGGAUCUCCUACUUCUGAAUGCUACGUCGAGCCUCUUCAAAUACAAUUUGAUAUUACUCCUGCCACCAACUAGCAAUCCGAAGGGGGGUUAACAAGGAAUGCCAAUAUGUCUGGCGAACAAAGGAUGACGCCAUCGCCAACGCCUCUAGCUGCAGCAAAGUAUGACACUACCCCGAGCACAUCAACUUGCAAGAAACGUCACAUGGACAUUCAGUGAGAAACAACAAUGGAUGACCAUUAUGUCAACUACAAUUGAACAAUGCAGCUUAACAAAUAAGACAUAGUGUUCGACAGUGACAAGACAUAAUGUUCAGACUUGCUACAAUUUGAGAACAUACUUGGCUUAUACUGAACAUUAGCUAUCACCGCUUAUUUACACAAUUUUGUACUAGAACUCGAGGUGCUACUACUAUAAAUAUUUGUUAGCAUCCAUCCUACCGUGAUGGAUUAACAAACAUUCAAAUAUCGUUUAAGCACCGGGUCUUCUUCCUGUA